UAAUUAAAAAAAAAAAAACAACUAGGAGAAACAUUUCAGUUUCCUUUCCCACAGCAGAAUCAAACAGUAUGUUUAUACAAUGAAACUAGUAAGAGAGUAAAGUAAAAAUUACAUUUCUUAAUUUUCUUAAUAUAGUUUAAGGUGGUAGAGUGGCUACUUUUUCUUUUAAUGAAAAUCUCUUUCCUAUUCUCUUCAUCAUGUAAUGUAGGACCUUUAACAAUACAAUGUACUGGAAAAUAAUUAAAAAUCAUUUCCUAAACUAAUUAGUUUCGGAACCACCUCCCUGGUUUCUCCCAUUCAUCUUGUGCUUAUAACCUUAUAAUAUUAGCUCGAAUUUCAUCUCUGCCUGACACAUUUCAAGCAGUGAAACAGAUUAGUGCCUCAGAACACUUUAUAGGGUUUCGUUAUCAAUCAGGUUAUGUUCCCAGUGAUGCUUUCAGCAGAAUUAUCUUAUUCGAAUGAACUCUCAUGGACUGAAGUAAACAAAGCUACAGCCCACUCCUCUUCCAUACUUCCCAUUCAUUUAUUUCCUUUUUUUUUUAAACUUAGACUUACAGCACGUGCCACAGAAAGAGAGCGCGUUAAAUAUUCCUGGAGUGUCACAAUAUGUAAUACAAUAAAACAGAUUACAACCCUACCUUUCUUUCACAGCAGUGGUGCCAAGCACAGGUACACCGGAGCAAUCAAUUUGUUCUGCAGACAGUAA
rnacentral:lncRNA from 1 species